GGGCCUGUAGCUCAAUUGGUUAGAGCCGGCCGCUCAUAACGGUCUGGUUGCAGGUUCGAGUCCUGCCGGGCCCA
rfam:Oceanibacterium hippocampi strain CECT 7691 genome assembly, contig: 0003